GCCCGGCUAGCUCAAUUGGCAGAGCGUGUGACUUUGUAAGCAUCCCUCUUCUGAUCUUCCCUUUCAACUCAACUAACAAUAUCCCAGUAUGUGUGUUCUCACCAUCAAUCACAAGGUUCGGGGUUCGACCCCCCGGUCGGGCA
rnacentral:tRNA from 1 species